GACGAACGCUGGCGGCGUACCUAAUACAUGCAAGUCGAGCGGACUUUCAAGAGGCUUGCUUUUUGCAAGUUAGCGGCGGACGGGUGAGUAACACGUGGGCAACCUGCCUGUAAGACGGGGAUAACUCCGGGAAACCGGGGCUAAUACCGGAUAAUAUCUUUCUUCGCCUGAAGGCAGGUUGAAAGGCGGCGCAAGCUGCCGCUUGCAGAUGGGCCCGCGGCGCAUUAGCUAGUUGGUGAGGUAACGGUUCACCAAGGCGACGAUGCGUAGCCGACCUGAGAGGGUGAUCGGCCACACUGGGACUGAGACACGGCCCAGACUCCUACGGGAGGCAGCAGUAGGGAAUCUUCCGCAAUGGACGAAAGUCUGACGGAGCAACGCCGCGUGAGCGAAGAAGGUCUUCGGAUCGUAAAGCUCUGUUGUCAGGGAAGAACAAGUACCGUUCGAAUAGGGCGGUACCUUGACGGUACCUGACCAGAAAGCCACGGCUAACUACGUGCCAGCCGCCGCGGUAA
rnacentral:rRNA from 1 species